rnacentral:rRNA from 1 species
AACGAACGCUGGCGGCAUGCCUAACACAUGCAAGUCGAACGAUGCCUUCGGGCAUAGUGGCGCACGGGUGCGUAACGCGUGGGAAUCUGCCUUUCGGUUCGGAAUAACUCAGGGAAACUUGAGCUAAUACCGGAUAACGUCGCAAGACCAAAGAUUUAUCACCGAAAGAUGAGCCCGCGUAGGAUUAGCUAGUUGGUGAGGUAAAGGCUCACCAAGGCGACGAUCCUUAGCUGGUCUGAGAGGAUGAUCAGCCACACUGGGACUGAGACACGGCCCAGAAUCCUACGGGAGGCAGCAGUGGGGAAUAUUGGACAAUGGGCGAAAGCCUGAUCCAGCAAUGCCGCGUGAGUGAUGAAGGCCUUAGGGUUGUAAAGCUCUUUUACCCGGGAAGAUAAUGACGGUACCGGGAGAAUAAGCCCCGGCUAACUCCGUG